UGCAAGAAGAGUGGCUUACCCCUAUAUUAUUCUUUUUCCUUUGAAGAUAUAAGAAGUCAAAGAAGGAUUCUGAGAUGGAAGUAUCAAAGAAAUCUUGUGCUACUAGGAAAUCUCAAGUUCCCAUCAAAAGCCCUCUCAAAGGUCAGAGCUGAAUGGCAACAGUAACACCUUUUGAAGCAGUAGUGACCAAUGGCUGUGGAAGUAUCUGCAACAAAUAGGCAAUGAUAGUCAUCCAAAGAUUCUAGAAGCUUCAGGGAGUAUGAUCCUCUACAGUGGAGAGAAAUGCUGGCUCUUCUCUGAAAAGGCACAGAUCCUAAGACGUCCAUAAAAAAAAAACGUUUAAAAAGAAAAGAAAGUUUUACACGGUCUCUAUAAAAGAAGAAAUGGAACUCUGAGAGUGGACGCAGAAAAUCAUAAGGCUAUUCCACAUGAGAACCUACCCAGGAUCAUUUUAUAGGCUGGAAGGGGGUCCCUAUGCCCAUAUAAAUUAGAGUGUGCACCUGUCUUCAAUAAGUCCACAUCAGGGCAUAAUAAGGAAGAACUUCUAAGAAAAUUCCCUUUGCAAAGUUUUGAAGAGUACCCCAGGGAACUGAGAAAUCUAGUAACUUGCUCCAGAUCUCAUAAGACUCUUUGACUAAAAGGUCAGUUGUUAUUUUCCUUAGCCAUCUUUCCUUUCUUCCAGAAGCUGCAUCUGGA
rnacentral:lncRNA from 1 species